rnacentral:lncRNA from 1 species
GCCCCUUCCCAAGUCAAGGGCAGGCUCACCGCUGCUGUGACACUGAUCCUUUAUGGCUGUGUUCUCUUUCUAGGGAUAACAGGAAUCGAUCAAGUGUUGAACGUCCUUCUCACAACUGCUAUGUUUGUAGGGGGCUGUGUGGCUUUUAUCCUGGAUAACACCAUCCCAGGUGUACUCCAGAGGAAAGAGGAAUCCGGAAAUGGAAGAAGGGUGUGGGCAAAGGGAACAAAUCACUCGACGGCAUGGAGUCGUACAAUUUGCCAUUUGGCAUGAACAUUAUAAAAAAAUACAGAUGCUUCAGCUACUUACCCAUCAGCCCAACCUUUGUGGGCUACACAUGGAAAGGCCUCAGGAAGAGCGACAACAGCCGGAGUUCAGACGAAGACUCCCAGGCCACGGGAUAGCCUUUGCUGUGCCCUGUGGCCUGGCCGCAGUGAGGCAUGUAUCUGUAGUUCCUUGCUGGGUAACAAGAAGUAAAAUACAUGUUUGUAUAUCUACAUUUACAUUCUGCGCCCCAGAGCUAAGACAGACUGCGAAUCACUUUUCUGCUGUGAGGGUGAUGGUGCCUGAUACGGUGUCUCGCCUAUCUCCUUAUUUAAGCCCUUAACUCCUUGCCCUUUGAGAGUGUCCAUUGCUGGCCAUGGUCACUAAAUUUGAAGUUCCAGUCCUCCCUUUGGAGUGGACAUUUAAAAUCUGCAGCGAUUCCUUGCUUCAGUUCCCUUCCACCACCCAGGGCUGGCUUUCCUAUAAGCCACCUCCAGGGUCCAGGGGCUUUCUCUCUCUCUCCGAAGCGCCUGGACCUGUUUCCUUGUCAUUUGACCCUCGUCUGUGCCCGCGGAGACCUCCUCUGACCAAGGGGCACUAGUAUGCCUUGCGCUAUCAUGACUGACUGGCCCAGUAUGAUUCUGUUGUCGCUGAUCUCCCGGAGGAGGAGCCUGUUGACCUGAAAACAGUGGCGUGGCUCCCCUGUGCCCAGAUCUGGCCGUGGGUAAGGCCUGCACAGAUGUCGAAUGAACAUCUGUUUGGGGCAUUGGAGGGAAAAGGAAAGGACCCUGAAGCCAAUAUCUGAUUCUCGGCUGCGCCUUCUCUUGGCCACCCUGGCCCCGACCGGGCCAGCACGUGCACACUGGCCUCUUUUCAUUUCACUAGUGGCCGAGACACCCUCUCUGGCAUUUAUCACUGUUAGCCGGUGUGAUGAGUAUAGAGUGCCACCCAAGGCACCAGUCACACAAGCUGAUGGGCGUCUUGGCUGUGCCGUCAUGUGGAUGUUAUUGUCGCGCGCGUCUAUAAUUACAAGGUUUUAUUCCUAUUUAAUGUUAUUGACUAUAGCAGAUUUUGGAAAUCAGUGUUUUCCAUGUGACCCUCUUUCCUUGCAUCCCUAUUCCUUGUCCCCCACCCACUCUUCCCCCCAUCAAGAAAAGAACCAGCAUUUGUAAAGCUGUGGACACCAUCAGGGAAGCUUGUUGUAACGGCUUUUGAAGGCCAAUAACCAUUGUUGUGGUUGUGUUUUGUAUUGCUUGAUACCAUGAAAGUGUAAAUACUGUAAUGCCUAAUCUAUUUAUCAAAACUGACUACUGGACCAGAGCCCAGAAACCGUGGGUCAAGUUACACGUGAAUUUGUCUUGUGAAGAAGGGAAGCUGGGGCAGGUAACACGCAGAGCCGCCACGUGGGACGGUCUGUCCGCCGGCCGGUCCCGCUUGCCGGGCUCCUGUUGCAAGUCGCUUCUGGCAGUCUUGGCUUAAGGAGACUUCCUGUGGGUUGCCACGUUGCACGUCCGUUAGAUCUUGAUUUUACAGGUGAGGGUGGUUGCCAAAGGUGAUAAGAAAAGCAGCCAACAGGCUCCCUCUCACUUAAGAGAGUUCUAAUUAAUAACACUAAAUUCUUCCUGAGAAAUGGCUCCUCUUGGUUUGGUUUGAAGUUUUUCAGUGAAGGGAAAGGCCUGAGAUAGGAAGCAGCGCCCUCGCUUCAUGAGGUGGCGCAUCUUCGGUGGCCGUUGGCCUGGUCGAGCUUUGCUCAGCUGCGUGGGUGCCUGUCUCCUGUCUCCAGCGGCCGGGCAUGGUUCUUGGCAGCCUGGUGUCCACACAGUGCAUUCCUGUCCCCCUCGGCCCCAGGCUGGCCCAGCUCUCCAGUGCUGUGGCGCUGUCUCUGCAGCAUUGCCAUGUCACCGUAGCCCCCUUCACUCUGGGAAGUUUGGGGCUUCAAGGUUUAUUCUGGCAAGAACACCUCGGAGCCACUGCAUUGUUUUGCCAAAAACUUACUGCAGAUUAAGUAAAGAACUUAGAUGCUAAAUUACAUCCAAUUUUGUAUGUUUUUUUGAAUGUGUCUUUGAUGCAUACUUUACAAGCACACUGGCUCGCGGUUUCCAUCCCUCUUGCCUUGGGACACUCUUGAGGCUGGCAGCCCUCCUGCAAUGAGUUGCUCUCAGUUCCUUCUGUUUGGAUUUUGCUCAACAUCUCCAGUUUCUCUGCUCUGAAAAAUGGGGAAAACUGCUAAACAUCCCAAAGAUUUGCAAUCUUCUAGCUCUCCAGGUGAGCAGAAAGACCAAAUAUCCAAAUAAAAGCCUGAAAGCCAUUGGUGAUCCAGGGGCACCUUCUCUUCAGCUUGACUGGGCGUCUUCCUCUGCAUAACACUCAAGGUGUCUGCUCUAGUCAUCCAAAAACCCACUCCCUUCUGAAGCCCCUCCUUGGGCUGGGUUUUAUCAGGAGGAUUCAACUCCGCUAACAUGUGGGGUGCCCUCUGUAGGCCUUCACACGGGGAAGGAAGCCCUACCCUUUCAACUGCUGUUGGAAUGAGAGUUUCCUGUUCUGAUUCCACUGUGGCCAACCCGAUAAUUCUGUCCGAGGAGGGGUAAGGGAAUAGGAGGUGGGGAGCAAAGAGGGCAGCCUGACUAGAUGCCCCUGCUGAAUCUGGUACUUUCUGCACAGCCUUGAGUGAUUGGAGUCCCCUAAUGACUAAUAAACUUGAACAUGUAACACACACACACACACACACACACACACACACACACACACACACACCAUUUUAGGAAGUGGUUCUCCUACUGGAAAAUAUGCUACAGAAUGAAAGUUUGUAAUUGAAAGAAAAAGAAUGUAUUCAUCUGCUUCUUGGGUUUAAGCACACACCUGAAGGGGAGAUAUUGG